rnacentral:tRNA from 1 species
AAGAGCGAAGUACUAAGUGCGUUUCACUUACAAUGAAAAAGUCCAAUAUUUUUGGCGUUCUUA